GACGAACGCUGGCGGCGUGCUUAACACAUGCAAGUCGAACGGAAAGGCCCUGCUUUUGUGGGGUGCUCGAGUGGCGAACGGGUGAGUAACACGUGAGUAACCUGCCCUUUACUUUGGGAUAACUUCAGGAAACUGGGGCUAAUACCGGAUAGGAGCUCCUGCUGCAUGGUGGGGGUUGGAAAGUUUCGGCGGUUGGGGAUGGACUCGCGGCUUAUCAGCUUGUUGGUGGGGUAGUGGCUUACCAAGGCUUUGACGGGUAGCAGGCCUGAGAGGGUGACCGGCAACAUUGGGACUGAGAUACGGCCCAGACUCCUACGGGAGGCAGCAGUGGGGAAUAUUGCACAAUGGGCGGAAGCCUGAUGCAGCAACGCCGCGUGCGGGAUGACGGCCUUCGGGUUGUAAACCGCUUUCGCCUGUGACGAAGCGUGAGUGACGGUAAUGGGUAAAGAAGCACCGGAUAACUACGUG
rnacentral:rRNA from 1 species